rnacentral:pre_miRNA from 1 species
UCAGGAGUUAUUGGGCUAUAUGGUAAUUCACUUUUUAAUUUUUAGAAAAACUAUCUUCUUACCCAAAGUGACUUUAUCAUUUACAUUCCCACCAAGAGU